CUGACGAGUGGCGGACGGGUGAGUAAUGUCUGGGAAACUGCCUGAUGGAGGGGGAUAACUACUGGAAACGGUAGCUAAUACCGCAUAACGUCGCAAGACCAAAGAGGGGGACCUUCGGGCCUCUUGCCAUCGGAUGUGCCCAGAUGGGAUUAGCUUGUUGGUGGGGUAACGGCUCACCAAGGCGACGAUCCCUAGCUGGUCUGAGAGGAUGACCAGCCACACUGGAACUGAGACACGGUCCAGACUCCUACGGGAGGCAGCAGUGGGGAAUAUUGCACAAUGGGCGCAAGCCUGAUGCAGCCAUGCCGCGUGUAUGAAGAAGGCCUUCGGGUUGUAAAGUACUUUCAGCGGGGAGGAAGGGAGUAAAGUUAAUACCUUUGCUCAUUGACGUUACCCGCAGAAGAAGCACCGGCUAACUCCGUGCCAGCAGCCGCGGUAAUACGGAGGGUGCAAGCGUUAAUCGGAAUUACUGGGCGUAAAGCGCACGCAGGCGGUUUGUUAAGUCAGAUGUGAAAUCCCCGGGCUCAACCUGGGAACUGCAUCUGAUACUGGCAAGCUUGAGUCUCGUAGAGGGGGGUAGAAUUCCAGGUGUAGCGGUGAAAUGCGUAGAGAUCUGGAGGAAUACCGGUGGCGAAGGCGGCCCCCUGGACGAAGACUGACGCUCAGGUGCGAAAGCGUGGGGAGCAAACAGGAUUAGAUACCCUGGUAGUCCACGCCGUAAACGAUGUCGACUUGGAGGUUGUGCCCUUGAGGCGUGGCUUCCGGAGCUAACGCGUUAAGUCGACCGCCUGGGGAGUACGGCCGCAAGGUUAAAACUCAAAUGAAUUGACGGGGGCCCGCACAAGCGGUGGAGCAUGUGGUUUAAUUCGAUGCAACGCGAAGAACCUUACCUGGUCUUGACAUCCACGGAAGUUUUCAGAGAUGAGAAUGUGCCUUCGGGAACCGUGAGACAGGUGCUGCAUGGCUGUCGUCAGCUCGUGUUGUGAAAUGUUGGGUUAAGUCCCGCAACGAGCGCAACCCUUAUCCUUUGUUGCCAGCGGUCCGGCCGGGAACUCAAAGGAGACUGCCAGUGAUAAACUGGAGGAAGGUGGGGAUGACGUCAAGUCAUCAUGGCCCUUACGACCAGGGCUACACACGUGCUACAAUGGCGCAUACAAAGAGAAGCGACCUCGCGAGAGCAAGCGGACCUCAUAAAGUGCGUCGUAGUCCGGAUUGGAGUCUGCAACUCGACUCCAUGAAGUCGGAAUCGCUAGUAAUCGUGGAUCAGAAUGCCACGGUGAAUACGUUCCCGGGCCUUGUACACACCGCCCGUCACACCAUGGGAGUGGGUUGCAAAAGAAGUAGGUAGCUUAACCUUCGGGAGGGCGCUUACCACUUUGUGAUUCAUGACUGGGGUGAAGUCGUAACAAGGUAACCGUAGGGGAACCUGCGGUUGGAUCACCUCCUUA
rnacentral:rRNA from 1 species